rnacentral:tRNA from 1 species
AUUAAGGUGGCUGAUAAAGGCAAAAAAUUGUAAAUUUUUUUAUAAACUAAUUUCCUUAAAA